AAACACCCUCAGCUUUUUCUUUAUUGAAAAAGCUGGACUUGAGUGAUCCCAACGGUUUUUUUUUAAAAGGCUGGCGGGUUGCUUGAAAUGCAGGUGCGGCUGGACACAUCUUCUGAGCUAUAAGCAUUACCUAUUUAGUCCCGUCAAACGGAUUAUUUCUAUUGCUACAGCUAAUAUAAAGGUCGAUUGUCCUUGUGCCCAACUGAUGCAGGAAAACAUGGAGAAAUCCUUGUUCA
rnacentral:misc_RNA from 1 species